ACUUCUAUGCCAAUCUGUUUGAUAAAUCGUAGGCUGCGGCCGUCCUGCAACAUGUGGUCCAAGACGUGCCAUUCCUCUCCUUCGAUAUCAAUUUUUAGGUAGUCAAUCGGCCGAAAAGCUGAUGGAAAGCUGAAACGUCGUGAUUGCCGUUACCGCGAGAAUCAUUUUUGAAAACUGAAACGACGGAUCGAAUGCGUAGACAUCGCACCCAUAUUCAGCCAUGGCUGAUUCGAAAGACCUAUCAUCUGAGAGGCCAAAUGAAUAGACGACACACAUCCCUGGUGGCGGAGCCAGACCUGGAUCGAGACAGACGGACUUUUGGCCGUCAAUUCCAGCUAAGAUGGCAUGAACCAUCGUUCCGCCACAGAAAGUAAUCGUGGCCGACAGCAAUGCUGUUGUCAACGGUAGACCAAGUGUAUGAGCCUCUCCAGUCGAUGGAUGACGAAGAAAGUACGAUAAAGACGAUGUAAAAUCCAGCUGAUGCGAGGAAUAAGAGUCCCAUCGUCAAUCGAGUAACAUGUUGGCACUCCUUCUUUGAGAAAUGUUAAACCUAUAAGAACGACUGCUUUCGUAAUAUUUGAUUUAAACCUACCAUUUUAGGAUGGACCAGGAAAUAUAGUUAUGCCGCUA